GCAGGCUGAGGAGGCAGGGAGCUGGCCAACUUCUCCGGAGGCAACGGCAGACGACCAGGAGACACCUGGGAGAAAACAGGAGUAGGUAAAUCCAGGGCAAACAAUAAGCAAGACGGGAAUAAAUCCAAGAGCCUGGUGACGCUACCGAACAGGACGGAAUUAUCUGGCAAAGUGGUGAUGAGAAGACCAGGGCUAAAUACUGAGGUAGAUGAAGGGAUUGAUUGCAGGUGUGUCUCGUCUGCUCCGGAAAAAGCCAGCCACGCCCCCUGCCACACUCAAGCUCUGAAACAGAAAAGGGAGGGGGAGAGAACAAAAACACAAAUCCUAACACUACUUUUCUUUCCCAGGCUUAUGUUGAUCGGACUGGCCAUUACAGCCAAAUCGAGCUGUUGGACUUCAUCGACUUGUUGAAGAGAAUGUUCACCAUGGAUCGGGGCCAGCGGAUCACCCCAGCUCAGAUCCUGGAGCAUCCUUUUAUUCAGCCUAAGAAGAAAAAGAAGAAAAAAGAAGAAGAUCAGAGCGGUUGAAAACACCACGCCUCAGGAGGUGGACAAUCCCAGGCCAAUUCAGAUUGGGCCACUCACUGCCGUGUUUGGGCCUCAUACAGCUGUCCCCGUCCCAAAGAAGAAGAACUGUUUCCAGAGGGCUUUCUCUUGGUUGAGGAAACAUUUGGAUAUGUAGCAGCCUAUUUGGUCCAGCAUGUUUUUGGGACGUCUUGAAAGAAUUGACUGAUGAAGUUGUUUGGAGGUUACUAUGAGUUUUUCCCAGGUGUCCCAGGAUAAGGAUAAGUGCAGAAGACAAGACGGCACAGAAUGCAAGCCCUGCCCAUUUCCCCUGUGUUUACAGAUGUGCAUAAUAUACUCCUGUGUAUUAUAGAUCAGCGAGACUGUGCUCUGAUUGGUGCUACAGUGGUGCUGAGAUGGUAUGUGUUGUGCUGUCUUGUCAGUUAAAGGUUGU